rnacentral:SRP_RNA from 1 species
UGCAGCCGGGGAGAUAGCGGUGCCCUGUACCUGCAAUCCGCUAAAGCAGGGGUGAUGUUUCGUCUGAGGGUUAUGAACUGCAGCGCUGCCCGUAUCCGUUGGUGUUGAAGUCCGGGUCUUGCGCAACAGAAACCGGUGAACCGUGUCAGGUCGGGAACGAAGCAGCACUAAGCCGGAGCUUCUGUGUGCCGCGAGGGUGCCUGGGCGGAGCCAUCUGCUGCGGUAACGG